rnacentral:rRNA from 1 species
CCCUUAGAUGUCCUGGGCCGCACGCGCGUUACACUGAUGCAUUCAACGAGCUUAUAACCUUGGCCGAGAGGCCUGGGCAAUCUUGUUAACGUGCAUCGUGAUAGGGAUAGAUUAUUGAAAUUAUUAAUCUUGAACGAGGAAUUCCUAGUAAACGCAGAUCAUCAAUCUGCAUUGAUUACGUCCCUGCCCUUUGUACACACCGCCCGUCGCACCUACCGAUUGGAUGGUCCGGUGAAGCCUCGGGAUUGUGGUUCUUGCCGCUUUAUUGUGGCGUGACCUCGAGAACUUGUCUAAACCUUAUCAUCUAGAGGAAGGUGAAGUCGUAACA